GUCCAUAUAGAUUAAGUAUAUAAAUUGUAAGGCUGUUAACCUUAAGAUAAUAUUAGUUUGUGGUCG
rnacentral:tRNA from 1 species